AUACAUGCAAGUCGAACGAACUCUGGUAUUGAUUGGUGCUUGCAUCAUGAUUUACAUUUGAGUGAGUGGCGAACUGGUGAGUAACACGUGGGAAACCUGCCCAGAAGCGGGGGAUAACACCUGGAAACAGAUGCUAAUACCGCAUAACAACUUGGACCGCAUGGUCCGAGCUUGAAAGAUGGCUUCGGCUAUCACUUUUGGAUGGUCCCGCGGCGUAUUAGCUAGAUGGUGGGGUAACGGCUCACCAUGGCAAUGAUACGUAGCCGACCUGAGAGGGUAAUCGGCCACAUUGGGACUGAGACACGGCCCAAACUCCUACGGGAGGCAGCAGUAGGGAAUCUUCCACAAUGGACGAAAGUCUGAUGGAGCAACGCCGCGUGAGUGAAGAAGGGUUUCGGCUCGUAAAACUCUGUUGUUAAAGAAGAACAUAUCUGAGAGUAACUGUUCAGGUAUUGACGGUAUUUAACCAGAAAGCCACGGCUAACUACGUGCCAGCAGCCGCGGUAAUACGUAGGUGGCAAGCGUUGUCCGGAUUUAUUGGGCGUAAAGCGAGCGCAGGCGGUUUUUUAAGUCUGAUGUGAAAGCCUUCGGCUCAACCGAAGAAGUGCAUCGGAAACUGGGAAACUUGAGUGCAGAAGAGGACAGUGGAACUCCAUGUGUAGCGGUGAAAUGCGUAGAUAUAUGGAAGAACACCAGUGGCGAAGGCGGCUGUCUGGUCUGUAACUGACGCUAAGGCUCGAAAGUAUGGGUAGCAAACAGGAUUAGAUACCCUGGUAGUCCAUACCGUAAACGAUGAAUGCUAAGUGUUGGAGGGUUUCCGCCCUUCAGUGCUGCAGCUAACGCAUUAAGCAUUCCGCCUGGGGAGUACGGCCGCAAGGCUGAAACUCAAAGGAAUUGACGGGGGCCCGCACAACCCGGUGGAGCAUGUGGUUUAAUUCGAAGCUACGCGAAGAACCUUACCAGGUCUUGACAUACUAUGCAAAUCUAAGAGAUUAGACGUUCCCUUCGGGGACAUGGAUACAGGUGGUGCAUGGUUGUCGUCAGCUCGUGUCGUGAGAUGUUGGGUUAAGUCCCGCAACGAGCGCAACCCUUAUUAUCAGUUGCCAGCAUUAAGUUGGGCACUCUGGUGAGACUGCCGGUGACAAACCGGAGGAAGGUGGGGAUGACGUCAAAUCAUCAUGCCCCUUAUGACCUGGGCUACACACGUGCUACAAUGGAUGGUACAACGAGUUGCGAACUCGCGAGAGUAAGCUAAUCUCUUAAAGCCAUUCUCAGUUCGGAUUGUAGGCUGCAACUCGCCUACAUGAAGUCGGAAUCGCUAGUAAUCGCGGAUCAGCAUGCCGCGGUGAAUACGUUCCCGGGCCUUGUACACACCGCCCGUCACACCAUGAGAGUUUGUAACACCCAAAGUCGGUGGGGUAACCUUUUAGGAACCAGCCGCCUAAGGUGA
rnacentral:rRNA from 2 species